rfam:Helicobacter sanguini strain MIT 97-6194 contig_76, whole genome shotgun sequence.
UCUUGUGUUUUUAUGAUAGUAGGACACACCUAGCUCCAUUCCGAACCUAGAAGUUAAGCUACCUUCAGCCGAUGAUACUGCACUUUUCAAGUGUGGAAAUGUAGGUCGAUGCAAGGA